GACGAACGCUGGCGGCGUGCUUAACACAUGCGAGUCGAACGGAAAGGCCCUGCUUGCCGGGUACUCGAGUGGCGAACGGGUGAGUAACACGUGGGUGAUCUGCCCUGCACUUCGGGAUAAGCUUGGGAAACUGGGUCUAAUACCGGAUAGGAGCCAUCUUUAGUGUGGUGGUUGGAAAGUUUUUUCGGUGUAGGAUGAGCUCGCGGCCUAUCAGCUUGUUGGUGGGGUAAUGGCCUACCAAGGCGGCGACGGGUAGCCGGCCUGAGAGGGUGUACGGCCACAUUGGGACUGAGAUACGGCCCAGACUCCUACGGGAGGCAGCAGUGGGGAAUAUUGCACAAUGGGCGCAAGCCUGAUGCAGCGACGCCGCGUGGGGGAUGAAGGCCUUCGGGUUGUAAACUCCUUUCGCUAGGGACGAAGCUUUUUGUGACGGUACCUAGAUAAGAAGCACCGGCUAACUACGUG
rnacentral:rRNA from 1 species